UACGAAGGGGGCUAGCGUUGCUCGGAAUCACUGGGCGUAAAGGGUGCGUAGGUGGGUCUUUAAGUCAGGGGUGAAAUCCUGGAGCUCAACUCCAGAACUGCCUUUGAUACUGAAGAUCUUGAGUUCGGGAGAGGUGAGUGGAACUGCGAGUGUAGAGGUGAAAUUCGUAGAUAUUCGCAAGAACACCAGUGGCGAAGGCGGCUCACUGGCCCGGUACUGACGCUGAGGUGCGAAAGCGUGGGGAGCAAACAGGG
rnacentral:rRNA from 1 species